AGCAGUCGCCACGGUAAUACGAAGGGUGCAAGCGUUAAUCGGAAUUACUGGGCGUAAAGCGUGCGUAGGCGGUGAGUUAAGUCUGCUGUGAAAUCCCCGGGCUCAACCUGGGAAUGGCAGUGGAUACUGGCUCGCUAGAGUGUGUCAGAGGAUGGUGGAAUUCCCGGUGUAGCGGUGAAAUGCGUAGAGAUCGGGAGGAACAUCAGUGGCGAAGGCGGCCAUCUGGGACAACACUGACGCUGAGGCACGAAAGCGUGGGGAGCAAACAGGAUUAGAUACCCGGGUAGUCCCUGUCUCUUAUAC
rnacentral:rRNA from 1 species